UCACUCCUUACUUAACCAUUUCAGAUCAGGAAGACGUGGUUCCCGAGCCCGUUCCGCAGGAAGACGACGAAGGGGAUGCCUAAAGAUCCCAUAGUUAUAAUUGUAGUUCUUACUUUCGAACAUUUAUUUUAAUUAGUUUAUUCCCUCAUUUGUUGAACACGUUUUGGUAUUACGUAAGGGAUGUUAAUUGCAAUGUUUAAUACGCUUCCGCAAAUUCAGAUUAUUUAUCUAUAUAUAUGCCUUUCCAAUAUUAAAUUUUUCC
rnacentral:lncRNA from 1 species